UACGGAGGGUGCAAGCGUUAUCCGGAUUCACUGGGUUUAAAGGGUGCGUAGGCGGACAGGUAAGUCAGUGGUGAAAUCUCUGGGCUUAACCCAGAAACUGCCGUUGAUACUAUUUGUCUUGAAUAUCCUGGAGGUAGGCGGAAUAUGUCAUGUAGCGGCGAAAUGCUUAGAUAUGACAUAGAACACCGAUAGCGAAGGCAGCUUACUACAGGAUGAUUGACGCUGAGGCACGAAAGCGUGGGGAGCAAACAGG
rnacentral:rRNA from 1 species